CCAAUGUAGCUAGAACCAGCAGCACCGGUGUAACAGAAUCCCAAAAUGCGCAAUCCUUUGAGAAUUCCUUGUAUUUUGAAAUGAACCAACAGAAAAAAGACAACAACAGUAAAGUCAAUUUUAAGGCGAUGCCAUGAGUCACUAAAUGAUGGCACCAUAUGUCUCAAUAAAUAUUAGCCAUUUUUAUCCCGUAGUAUGCAGGCCUACAAAUGGCUUAUAAAACUGUGCCAAAUGAAGGUGGUUAUCUUACUACGUUCGUGUGCUUCUAAAGCUAUGUGCCAUUUUUGACGUAAUUCCACACUGAAGUCAAUGUGUGAGCAAACGAGAUUUAGAAGAGAUUUGAAUUUGAUACGCUUUUAAAAGGCUUAAAAUAGAUUAGAUGUAUUAGAACUAUGUACACUUGUUGAUUAUAUAUAUUUGUUACAAGACAGUGCCAUUUAUGUAGAAUAUUUCAUUUAUAUUUUAACAUAACAUAUUUCUAUUUUUAGUUUGCUUGUUAACAAUUUUUAGAAUGUAAGAUUACCAAGGCUUUGAAUGACAGUUUUAUUUACUAAUAAAAUAUUGGUGAUAAAGUACUUAUGCUUUUAUGUGAAAAUUGCCUUUAAAUUUAUUUGCUUUAUUAUAUUCAUAACAAUGUAUGAACAAUGAUAAACUUUCUUGAUUUUUACAUUUACUUAUAUGUGUGUAUGAUAAGAUUAUGCCAUGACUUUGUGAACAACCUACUACUUGGAUAAAGAUUGAAUGAAUGUAAAUAUGAUACUUAAAGAAUGUUUUUAUUAUUGAAUCCACAUUUUUUUUCAAAGGUUUUGUACUUUAAACCAUAUAUCAAAUAAAAAAGUUUUUUCUU
rnacentral:misc_RNA from 1 species